CUUGGAACAAUCACCUGCUKGGAGUCAUGUGAUGCACCACUCUGCCACAAACAGCUUUGGGCAGRAGCACAGCUGCAAACUCUUUCUCUCUCUUCCCCCACCAGUUGAGAUUAGAUGUUUCUAUUGGGCACUUGAGUGGUGAUCUCUGGUCUAGGGCUCAGUGCCAUGCAGCACCCAGACAGCACUCGGUGCUUGCUGCUGAUGGGACAGCCCACCUGGGAUGGGACACUGGGGACAACGGAACACACUUCUGCACCUGGGACAGCCACGACAGCUGCAGCAAGGCAGGAUGGCUGYGGGAACACGUGGAUACAUGCACGAGCACAGAUGGAUGAAGGCUUGGAAAGGAGAACACAGGUCCAUCUGARCACAUCAGAUCUGGGAUGGAAAUUUGUCAGGCUACCCAUUACMAAACAACUGCUAUGCAUUCACUCCUCUCUCUUCCUCCCCAGAAAGCAGCAGYUGAGAGUCACCAAGAUCUGUCAGAGGAGAUCUUAUUUGUGUCUCAUCCACCCUGUCAGGGUCUUGCACACACCACUGUGGCAAAACACUUGAGGUCUGUCUGCUACAUAUUCAGCUGYGCAUAAACAAAAGGCUCUCCUUGUAUUUGAAUAAUUCCUUCAAAUACCAGAUGUUGCCUGAUUUCUCCAGAAUGGCCAAYUCCUACAAUUUUAUAGCGAGUAGAGCUACAUGAAGUGACUUUCCACUAAAAUAAUUUUCAUGCCUAAGGACCUCAUCCUUGAUUUAAAGUCAGUUUUUAUCCUCUAUGAAUAAGAGCUGAGUGCUUCUAAUGCAAAAACCAGAAGGCAACAUUCACCCAGCUCUGUGUACUAAAAUCUGAAGCCAGUCUCAAGAUUACACUUUUUUGGAUGCAACGUGACUACUGUCAUGUAAAAAAAGAAACCAGGRAGAGUCAGGGCCCAAACCAGAAGUAUAUCAGCUCUGCAAGUGAGGACAGACACCUUGAAGCUGAGGGACCUUUCCAACAGCAGCRCCUACGAUUUCUCUGGAACAGGCUCCAAAUUAGCCUUGUCAAGCCUAUUUCGGAGACACAGGCGGGCAAGAUGUGGAGGAGGACUUCAAGGGUGCUUUCAAACGAACUGAAUCAGAGGUUUACCCAACCCCGCUCUUUCAGAAGUUUCUGAAUAACGCACCAGUUUGAACCACUGGAAAGAAACAAAUAAAUGAGCUGGCAACUUUCACAGGGAGGAGCCUUGAAGCCCAGUUCCCAAGACCACGCCAACCAGCUCCGUGUGACAGCACAUAGGAAUGAAAAUAGGUAGGUAACAUUAACAGAAAUACACUGAAACUUAAUAACAGCAGCUUGUCAAGACAUGCACCAAAGAGAAAUGGCUCAUAAUAGCUACAGCUUGUAUUAUGAAUGUUUCAUAGCCAUCUGGCUACAGGGAUGCCUGAACUCAGCUCAGGUGUUGUGUGUGCUCUACUAACCCACCAUGCAUGCUCUGGAAGGACMGUCUCAAGCUCAAGUCGAGCAUCUGUGUUAAAAAGACACACCAUCUCUCUUGUCAGAUUGAAAAUACCUUGGAAUAACAAGGCAGCAAUGGACAGAGCUAAAGAGCUAAGGCUGGGUCCUCCUUUGGUGUAAAUCAGGAAGUUUUGCUCAGGACAAAUGGAGUUUAUCGCAAUUUACACCAACUAUGAGACCCAGCCUGAUUGUAUCAACCCCUUGUUUCAGUUGUAACUUCCAUGUGUCUAUCAGUAGCUUAAAGCAAAGGCACAGCUUUAAAGGAAAAGUAAUCCCCCUGCCUUUCCUCUCCUGAUCUGAUUCACAUACAAAAUGGGYUUAUGAACUCAAAAAUUAUGGGAGGGAUUCAAGGAGGAGGAAAGGGAGACACAAGAGCCCUUUUAUUUUGCGUCUUAUUCACAAUGAAAAUUGGCACAGAAGCCAACCACAUACAUUAACAUAGUUUGGGCAAGUUUAACUCUCAUGAAUACAUUUCUGUGGAAAAACUAUGUGACUAUGGAAAAAUCCCCUCUUUUUUGCCAUUUGAAAAGAUAACAGGCUUCUAUGUGGAACAUACCCAGAACCUGCCUGAUUCAGAGACAUGGAAAUACAAAGAUGAAUAAGGCUGAGUUUCCCAUGCUAGGGGCCCAUGGAAACUGAGAGGGGAGGAAGAAGUAAGGAGGCCCAUUGACUCGGGAGAAGGACUUUCAUCCUACAGGUGAAGGAAGUAUUUGAAGGCACUGGUAACAUUGCAGGCCUGUUCCAGAGCCCAUUUAAGUCACUGACAACAUCACAUUGACUGCGAUGUGGGUCAGGGCUAAAUAGUUUUAAAAUAUAAUCCAAGACUAUUUCCACAUCACCGURUAGUGAGCGGGAUCCAAAACAGUUCAAGUGUGUCUAGCCCUGUGACUUACCUGCCUUUUGUCCAUAUUUCUGGCUGCUAGCCUGGCUGCUGCUUGGCCCGAAGUCUUGAUAUUGCACUGAGGAAGAGCUGAACUCGAGACCUUUUUGGAAGUCUGUCUCCAAUUGGAAUGCACAGCAGACUGCACCCAUGACUAAAUCAGGCAACCUGAAGGAAGGMAAGCUUUGGCAAAAUGUACUGAGGCAUCAACUGCACCUCUCUUCUCUCCUCCCCUCCUGUAUUUUCAUUGUCCCUCUCCCAACUCAGGCUGAGGAGAGCUCGUGGURGGAGCAUCCACCAAGAGCAGUGGACAUAUCCACUGAACAGCAUGAGUACCUUUGUGUGAUGAUAUAAGUGCACCUGGCAUCCAAAAUCUGGAAUUUAAAGCCAGCCCAGCCACAAUGACAAGCUCUGGAAUCCUCUGRUCCAACUGCAGUCCAAGUGCAGCCUUAAGACUUCUGCAGAAUAUCACAGGAGCCAMCCUCACCACCACUUGCCUAGCAGCAAAGGAUGUGGUAUUUUUCUAACCCAGAUCCCAGCAAUGCUGGUAUCUACACCUGCUCAGCCACAUUCACCGCCCACCAGAGUUAAUGGAGUGAGUAGGCACUUCUGGGAAGAAAAUCACCUGGCCUACAGCAGAUGACUCCCUUAGGAUGAGAUCAGUAUCAGUCCCAGGCAGCUGCAAAGGCCAUUUUGCUUCUCAUCAGCUGUCACUGUCCUCCUACAUCCUGAGGAAUUCCAUCCCAGACCAGCAGAAUGAACUCACUGGUAUCAGCAGGUGGUGUAUGUUCAGCUGCUCUCAGCAAUACUCUGCUUGCUUGUUCCCAGCAAGGGCAGCUGCCAUCAGGGAAGCAGUGCCCUGUGAAUGUGCCAUUCAGAGGGUAGGAGAACCCAGAGUUUGYAAGGCAGACAUCAAAGGGGUCCGUAACAUGCAGAUGUUUUCCAUGCAGAGGCUGAGAAAAGUGAUGGCCAAGACUUUGUAAACCCCAUGCUGUGUUUUUCCCUUCAUUUUCUCCCUUACAUCCCCCAUUUUCUUGUCUGCUCUUAUAUGGAAGAAUGAAAACAUUACAAAUGAUGAGCUAUGUCCCCAGCUGAUAUAAUUUGUUGUGACUCCACAAAGCUAUGCCUGUUUACACAAGCUGCAAAUUUCUCCCAUUAAUUUAAAUCUCUACAGAUUUACAUCAUGGGGAAGAGCACCACAUUUUUUCCCAUAGCUAAUCAGCUUCUUCAAAUAAGAGAAGACAAACAAGUCACCCUUGACAUCCAUUAAACUUGUAUUUGAAGAUAAAGAUUUCAGAGGAUGCCUUCUCCCACCCUAUCUCACAUCCUUCAUCCUGCUCCUCUGUUUAUUAGAGGAUGCUCCCAGUGUCACGUGGGUCAGAGCUGAGCUGAGUUGCCAAGGAUGGUACCCAUGGGUGAACAUAUGGCUGGAUCUACUUCCUUUUCAUCUCCCCUGGUAGUUCUGCAACCCAUCCCAAAACAUCCCUGAGUCCUGGUGAGGACAGAGCCCUCACUGCCACCCAGGCUCACUGACAGGGUGUAGGCAAAAAYUCCUGUUCUUUGAUCAAGGGCAGCAAGUUCAAUGCUCAGCUCCCUCUGCCCAGGUGAAUUUCUUAAGYAACAAACUUAAAAGCUGUUUUUAAAAAGUUCUCCAUCCAUUUCAUUUUCAUUUCAAGAAAUUUUUCAUCUUCCUAUGGAAUACAAGCACAUUCAAAACCUCACCAUUUUCUAUAAAAUUAAAUUCUWGUGUUCCCACUCGCCCUAACCAGAAGCACUAUACCAUCAUGGCUGCAGAAUACAGAGCAUUAUACUGACUUUGUGCUGUCCUGCAGAGAAACAYGAGGUUUCACGUGACAUUACCAAUUGACUUCUCCCAAAAUUUCCUUCCCAUGAAUAAGUGCCAAUCUGAACACUAAGCAUGCAUGAAGACAGACACUUCCCAUUGGGAAGCAGUUUGCUAAGCCAUCUGGAGAGCUCAAACACUUCUGAACACUCAACAACAACUUUCUGCUGGGCAGUACUCUGAACCUGCUUUUGGRACACACUGAAUUAGCCUGAAGAGCCAGGUGACUUAAGUGCCAAAUUCCUUACCAUAAUCACUGAUUUAAUUUGACCACUGAAGCUCUCCAGGCUUUUUUGGAAGCCCCAGUUGUGAUUCCAGGAACCAGUAUGUCCAAGAUGAUCCCACGGGUUGAACACUGUCAUUAAAAGCAUGACCUGUUCCUGCUGGAGGCAAAUGAUGGAGUCCCUCCAGGAGUGCAGGGAAUUAGAUGGCUCCAUCACCCAUCCCAGCAGCCUAUUUUCUGUACUAUGGAGCAAGACCAAAAACAGUGGGGAUCUCUGAGGCCACAGUAAAAGCCUUACAUUUCUUCCAAUAAAAGCCGAGUCUAGUGACCUGCAAUAGAUUCUCUGGAUGAACUGAGGAGAAAGCAUCCAAGAUAUCAGGAGCUGGAAUUCACUGUGUUUAAGGGCAGGAUGAGAGAAUUAGACUUGUUCAGCCUCCAGAAGAAAAGAUGAAUGGGAGACCUUAUUCCUGAGACAGCACCAGGAAGACAGAGCCAGGCUCUUCUGGAAGGUGCACAGCUCUGGUGGACAUUGCUCUGACCCCCUUGUGUCUCCUGGAAGGUCCCCAGCAAUGCUCUCCCAUAACCAACCUUCUCCAGCGUGAUGUUUGCUGCCUUCUGGAGGAUCUCCUGCUCUGAGAUCAACGUUUCCAUGCUGCUCCUCUUUCCCUGAGACUGCUGACUUGCUGGGAUUUAAGCUGUCUUUCCAACAGCCCCUAUCCCAUUUAGGCCAUAUCCUAGGAUUUUGUUUCAUGAAAAAGGCUCUGUAAAGGCUCUGGACCCUGUGCUAUGAUUUACACUUUUUCAUCUCCUGCAGAAAGCCUGCCRUGUAUGUGAUGAUACCAUUCAGCUCCGUUUACCUGAGAACUUAAAAAAAUACCAUCGGAGGUUGUUUUUUCCAUAUGGGUAAAUAGUAGGGGUGGGAGUAUUCCUUAUGGGAAACCUGGAACAGUCGCACUCUGUCGGCCUGACAUUUCCUGCUGUAAUUGAAACUUUUGAUGUUAAAAAUUCCAUUUACACAGUGUGUCUCUGAGCCAGGCGGGGAGAAGGGCAGAGGUGGGCUCAGCAUUAGCACACGGUUUCCCCACCCCUCCAAUGCAGCCAGUUAAAUACAGCAGGUGAGUGCAGAGAUGUAAGGGCAGGARUAUGAGGAAGGAAAUUCCAGCUGAGUUAGGUCAUUUGGGUCAGAGGAAGCCAGGCAUGGUUACAGAGGCAGGUACAGAUCAAAUCAACUCGAGGCCCUGGGUCUCUGCAGCUGCCCAUACCCCUGCCCAGGCAGGCGGGGAGCGGUGCAUCCACGUGCUCCUGUGCUCAUGGGGGAUGUGUGACCCAAACAUCUGGGCUCUGCCUCAAAAGGAUGGAAAAAGGGUUCCCUCAGAAGUGAUAAGCACCCUGGGGAGAAACAACUUUGCUCUCUUGGAGGUUAAAGGACGCUUAACUGAGUGUUUUUGAAAUUCCCAUCCAAUGCUACACGACCUCAUCCUCAAUGAAAUCAGCCAAGUUGCCAAAUUCUAAUGCAAAUCCCAGCUGGCCUUAGGUGAAAAUCCAAGCAGAGGGUCCCACUGCUGCCAAAUGUGCCAAGGCUUAUCCCUGCACCAAUCCCAGACCCUGCCAUGACUGCCAUUCCUGAGGAGCUGCACAAACCUACACAGACUAGUCCCCCAGCCAGUGGGUUCUGGAUUCUUCCAGCUUAUGGGUCCAGAGGGGAUUCACCCAGCACAACUUGCCCAGUCUCUGCCUCAGAUCUGCAGCAGCCACCAGCCCAAAUCCUCCCUCUUCCUCCAGCUCUACCCCAGUUCAGAAACUCCUGUGAUUCCCAACCCUCAAGCAAGCCAGAUUCCUGUCUUCCUUCCCAUGAAACCACUGGCAGUGUUUCAAGGGGUGAGCAAUAGCAGCAAAAAACACCAGAAGGCCGGCAUCAAUCCCAGCCCCAUCUCCCACUAGCAGUAAAUACGGGAAUAAGACAAAGUCCAGGACAAGAUGGAAUCCCUCUGAGUAAUGGACAUAAUUACAUUAGCUAGGCAAAGUAACUUUAUGUUAAGAAAUAUUUUUGGCAUGCCAUGAAAAGUUUGAAUSCUGUCACACCCCAGCAGUUACAAAAGUCAAAGGCAACAUAACAUGAGUUUUAUUUUAACURUUACAUGCAUUUGCAUAAAAAUGCUUCUUCAGAUGAUAAUGAAACUGUGCUUCCCUGUUUUGGGUUUGUUUGUUUGUUUUUUUUGCUGCUUUCCCUUUUGAUGCAACUUUCUUGCACCCUCAAAGGCACAAAGUAGAACAGGAAGCAGUUCUGCCAGAGACUCUUUUCUCAGGCUUCUUCAAAAAUUAAGGCUCAAUCCUUUAAGCUUUUCUCACAUAUCCAAAGACGAGACAGUAAAAAAAAAAAGUACUUAGACUCAGCAAUCACUUCUGAAAAUCUGGCUUUUCACUGUCAGCUGUGUUUCGGACCCUCCAGCCACAACAGUGACAGCCACAAUAACAAGCAAAUUACAUUUCUGGUUACUCUUCCUAGUAAUCGUUGGGAGCAAUGGGCAGCAUGGGGUGAGAAAACUAGGCUAKAUCUGCAGAAGCAAACAUUUCAGAAAGGAAACAAAUGAGUUAUUUGAACAGACAUUCUGAUUGAUUCUCAUUUCUAACCCUAUAACUUAAAUGACAACUGACUAUAUAUAAACUCAGUCAACUUCUUGGGGUUCCACAAAAAAAAGUUCAUUCAGGAACAGAAGUAGGGAAAACUUUUAAGUUUCAAAAAUAUCAAAAUGCAUUUUAUCCCACCAKCUUUCUCAAACUCUAUGACCAAAGUAGGCAAAACUAAAACCAAAUUAACAGCUGUUAUGUUAGAUUUAAUAUACAGAUGCUCAUUUUUAUUUAAAUAUUUAAUAGAGAUAUCACUAGGGAAAUUCUGAUUUUUUUUUAAUCUAAGAAGCUGCUUUACUUUUAAAAUCACUUUCUUGAAAAAAUUUAAGUUUUAAAAAAAAUAAUAAAUUAAAUACUUGGGUUCAGAUAGCACAAUAUAUUUUAUUAGAGACAGAAGUAAUUUUUUUAAGUUUUGGCAGAAUUCACCUCUUGGGGAUAAAUUAAUUUAGGAAGACCUAAACUAGAAUUUUCAGAUGGGGCCAGAACUAAUUAAUCCCAGUGCUCACCAGUUGUUCCUAUACCUCUCAUCAAGGAAUCUUUCAUAGGAUAACUUAYGAUAAACAUUCCAGUUUGCCCAGGCAAAGUUGGCAUGAUAAAUUGCAAAAAAGAUAAUGUUUUCUACUACAGUGAAAGAAGCCUCCUGAGACUGUGGGUGCCCCAAUGUGUAAAAGACUGGCUCAUACUCAAGGAGUUCACAACUGAAAGAAAAGCAAGGAUGGGAAACCAAAACUGAUGUGACUUGUCCAGUCCUCAGCACAGACUGACACCAGGGUGUCAAGUUGCACAAAUGGUGCAAAAUGAGUCUGGUUCACCUCAGCUCUUCCAUCAGUGACCUGUGUGAUAGAAACCUAUGGUCAGACUCACUGAUAAAACCUUCAUUUUGGUUUCCUCGGCCUUAUUUCUUCUUCAUGGGCUGGCASAGCAUCGCAGAACUUCAGUAAGUACAAAUGAUAACGGUCUCCAGCAAAUAGCCAGAGGGAACCAAGGAAKAUCUUUGUCUUGAUCUUAUAUUGAUCUUGAUUUUUUYCCAGCUGGAAGAACAGAGAAUUCCCAGUGUGCCACUACCAGAAGGCACAUACCUAAAAUUAUCAACUUUGAGAUAAAGAAAGAAAUCAGAGGAGGAAAAAGASAUACCAGGUAAAUGAAAAGCAGGAAAGUGCUGUCAGGAACUGAUGGCAAUACUUAGCCUAAGAGUUGUUGGAGCCUCUGAUCUAACRCUAUGGAUAAACAUUUGUCCAAAUGACAGUACAUGGUGCAAAAUCAUGGGAGAUKGGCAAGAACUAAGUCAUGAUUGAUGAGCUUUGGAAGAGCAGGACCUGGCUCUCCAAGGUUGGUUUUGCAACCUUUGAUCUUUAUAGCCAUGCAUUAUAAAGCAGUUUCAACUUGUAACUAAAUUCCUAAAAUACUCAGCUGUAAAAUCCAGACAUAUCCUGAGUAAUAAAACAAAUACAU